UCUAACAAUUCUAUUUGAUUGUGCUCGCUUGGAACGAUACAGAGAAGAUUAACAUGGCCCCUGCGCAAGGAUGACACACAAAUUCGUGAAGCGUUCCAUAUUUUU
rfam:Tupaia chinensis contig215994, whole genome shotgun sequence.